rnacentral:lncRNA from 1 species
AAGCAAGGUCCACUUGCAGUGAAAUAAACCAGAGGUUUGAAUCAUGGCUUGAUACGAAAUUAUUGGAAAGAAUAUGGCGAUGACAUCCACAAUGCCGUUUACUGGUCAUUCCUGCCAUGAGAAGAUGAUAGAGAAUAUCACCACAGUGUGACUUGCUUCCAAGGCAGCAUGGUUUCAUGCAGAGGAUCUAAACUGGGGACCAUGUGCUGGGCUGCAAAAGGGCUGUGCAGUGCCUAAAAUGUUAUGCAAAAUUUUAUAAAGUUGGUGUUGUUUUCUUCAGUCAAGAGGUCCACAGAGCUGUCUUUCAUUCUGUAGGUUUAUCAGCAACUGAUGCUUAAAACCUAUUAGGCACUGCAAAAAAAGAGUGCACACCUUCUACUUAUUAAAAAAAAAAACAAACUGUAAAACAGCAUCAUGCAGGUUCUUCAGGAGAGAUUCCAGAGGAAGGCAUUGUUGUGGUAGAAGAUGACAGUUCCACAGGUGUUACUAGCCAUGAAGAUCUUCCAGUGAGACAAGAUGUGGAGGUGGAAGACAGUGAUAUUGAUGAUUCUGAUCCUGUUGUUAUAAAUAAAGUUUCGGUUCCACAAAAGAAA